GAGGGUACAGCUCAGUGCUAGAGCGUGUGCUCAGCACUCACGAGGUCCUGGGUUCAAUCCCCAGUACUUCCG
rnacentral:tRNA from 1 species